rnacentral:misc_RNA from 1 species
AAGUCGUAACAAGGUUUCCGUAGGUGAACCUGCGGAAGGAUCAUUAACACGUUUAUUAAAACCAAACGUACCAAAACUCUGUGAACAGAGAUUGUGUGAACAAUCUCGCCCCCCUUUUUUUACCAACUAUAUAACAAACCCCAAAAAACAAUUUAAAAGUUGUUAUUCGUAACAUCUUUUAAUUGUCUUGUAACUAAAUUUUACUUAUUUUUCGAUAUUUUAUAAUAUCGAGAAAAUUAAAAGAUGUCUCUUCCUUUCGAGGAAUCGGACUUAUCUUUUUAUGAACCAAAAUGUUGUACAACUCUUAGCAACGGAUAUCUUGGUUCCC